rnacentral:rRNA from 1 species
UCUUUAGACUAACCAGCAUGUAUACUGCCGUUGUAAGCAUACCUUUAAAAGAGUAGUAUGCUACCAUGACUAUAACAACCCAUGUACAUCAGGUCAAAGUGCAGCUAAUGAGAAGGAGACGAUGGGUUACAACCCUAAAACGGACUAUCAACUAAGAAAUUAAAAUAUCUUAAGAAAGUGGACUUGGCCGUAACCAAUUUUAAAAUAAAGAAAUGAACAAUAUCUAAGACAUGUACACAUCGCCCGUCACUCUGCCCUAAAGGAUAGAUAAGUCGUAACAAAGUAGGUGUAAUGGAAAUUGCACCUGUCGGGGUAUAGCAUAUAAAAUGCUUUUUACUUACACUAAAAAAAAAGUUAGUAACUUACUUCGCCCACAUAGUAAAAUCAUAUAAAUUUAGAGUAAUAGAAGCAACUAUCGAACCAAAUAAAUAAGUACAGAAAUGGAAAAAAUAAUAAAAUAAAGUAAUUAUUAACAAAUAUACCUUGUGCAUUAUGGUUUUACAAGAAAAUAAUUAAAAAUAAAUAUCCCGAAUUCUAAAUGAGUUGUUAAACUGCUGUUAUGAACCCAUUAAUAACUGUGGAAAAAGCUUUAAAAGACAGUUUAACAGAGGCUACAUACCAUACGCAUAAGAAUAUAGCUGGUUUUCAACAAACAUUAUACAUUAAAGCAUAUAAUAAUAUUAUAGUGUUAUAUUAUUGAGGACAAGCCCAAUAAUUAAAUGCAAUAUACUAAACACCUAAUUUACUAUAUAGGCCUAAAAUCAGCCAAUAAAAAUACUUUACCGUAAUAAAUUUAGAUGAAUAUACCUAUAACUAUAUGUAGAAAAAAGUUGAAAUGGUGGGUAAACUAAAUAACCCACCUAUACUAUGUAAAAAUAAGUAUUAGACAUACACAUUAACAAAAAUCUAGAAUAAGCACCCCGUAAAUAAUAAUAAUUAAUUAAGGAACUCGGCAAAUAACUAUUUCGACUGUUUAACAAAAACAUUGU